rnacentral:rRNA from 1 species
AGGGUUUGAUCCUGGCUCAGAGUGAACGCUGGCGGCGUGGAUAAGGCAUGCAAGUCGAGCGAUCUUAUUUUACGAAGUAUACUGAAAAUCUUCGGAUUCGAUGUUUGCUUUGUUUUCUAAGAUAGCGGCAAACGGGUGAGUAAUGAGUGGGUAACCUACCUUAAGGAGGAGAAUAGUUUCGCGAAAGCGGAAGUAAUACUCCAUAAUAACAUAUGCUGAUUGUAUAUGUUUAAAGAUGGCCUCUAUUUAUAAGCUGUCACCUUUUGAGGGGCCCACUUCCUAUCAGGUAGUUGGUAAGGUAAUGGCUUACCAAGCCUACGACGGGUAGCUGGUAUUAGUGUAUGGUCAGCCACACCGGAACUGAGAUACUGUCCGGACUCCUACGGGAGGCUGCAGUCGAGAAUCUUUUUCAAUGGGCGAAAGCCUGAAAAUGCGACGUCGCGUGAGGGAUGAAGCGUUUCGGCGUGUAAACUUCUUUUAUAAGGGAGGAACGUUUAUUUGUUAAUACCAGGUAAACUUGACUUCACCUUAUGAAUAAGCCACGGCUAACUCCGUGCCAGCAGCCGCGGUAAUACGGAGGUGGCAAGCGUUACUCGGUUUGAUUGGGUGUAAAGGGUCCGCAGGCGGCCUUAUAAGUAGAAAGUGAAAUCCUUCCGCUUGACGGAAGAACGGCUUUCUAAACUAUUUGGCUUGAGGAUGAAAGAGGAGAGUGGAACUGUUGGUGUAAGGGUGAAAUCUGUGGAUAUCAACAGGAACGUCCGUGACGAAGGUGGCUCUCUGGUUCAUUCCUGACGCUCAGGGACGAAAGCUAGGGGAGCAAACAGGAUUAGAUACCCUGGUAGUCCUAGCUGUAAACGAUGGGCACUAGGUGUUCCCGUCUUAGACGGGGGUGUCGAAGCUAACGCGUUAAGUGCCCCACCUGGGGACUACGGCCGCAAGGCUAAAACUCAAAGGAAUUGACGGGGGCCCGCACAAGCGGUGGAACACGUGGUUUAAUUCGAUGCUACGCGAGGAACCUUACCAGGGUUUGACAUGCUGGAAGUAGUAGCCUGAAAAGGCGUCCGACCUGUAUCCAAUCAGGAACCAGCACAGGUGCUGCAUGGUUGUCGUCAGCUCGUGCCGUGAGGUGUUCCCUUAAGUGGGAAAACGAGCGCAACCCUCGCUUCUAGUUGCCAUCGAUCUCUUUGAGAUGCUGGGCACUCUAGAGGGACUGCCUACGUUAAGUAGGAGGAAGGCGGGGACGACGUCAAAUCCGCAUGGCCCUUAUAUCCUGGGCUACACACGUGUUACAAUGGCGUAUACAAUGGGGGGCAAUACCGUAAGGUGGAGCAAAUCCUCAAAGUACGCCCCAGUUCGGAUUGAGGCUUGCAAUUCAGCCUCAUGAAGCUGGAAUCGCUAGUAAUGGCGCAUCAGCUACGGCGCCGUGAAUACGUUCCCGGGCCUUGUACACACCGCCCGUCAAGCGCUGAAAAUAGGAGACGCCCGAAGCCCCGAUUUAUCGGGUUCACGGUGAAGUCUGUGAUUGGCGCUAAGUCGUAACAAGGUA